GUCACACCAUGGGAGUUGGAAAUGCCCGAAGCCAGUGACCCAACCGUAAGGAGGGAGCUGUCGAAGGUGGAGCCGAUGACUGGGUGAAGUCGUAACAAGGUAGC
rnacentral:rRNA from 1 species